ensembl:lncRNA novel transcript
CAUACUCUCCAUGUCUGCUGCAUUUGAGGAUGCUCCUUUUUUAUCUGGAACUCCUGCUAUUCCAACCAUAUUUGCAUGAGGGAGCACCCUAAGCCCAGUAACGCUGUGGUUCUUAUAGACUCAUAGAGGUACCACCUUGGUUGUCUUGGAUAAGAUGUGGAAGAAUUCUCUGGAUUACCAGCAGAGAGUAUUGCUUUCUUUUCUUACUUUCUCCCAAACAAAUGGAGUCUCUCUCUGUGCUGAGCUGCCGGAGCUGUGGGAGGGGUGACACAAGCACACCUGUGGCCACCACCACUGGGAGUGUGCUGGAUCAGAUCUGAAGCCAACACAGGACUGGGUCUUAUCCAAGGCCUGCGGUAAUCACUGCCUGGUGACCACUUAUGUUCACUCAAGAAGGAGUCUCUCCACAUAUCCACCACAGCUGGGAUUGUGCUGGGUCAUAUCUGAAGCUAGCACACAUCUAAGUCUCAUCCAAGGCCCACACCUGGUAAGAAAAAUCCACAUCGUGACACGGAAGAGAUGGAGGAAGAAGAGAAAACAAAAGAAAAUGUAUUAAUAAGAUAAUGUUGUAAAUGCUGUUGCAACUGCAAGCUGCAUUACGUGGCCUCAUAUUUUCUUCCACUGACAAAAAAGUAUGUAUAACAUACUAUGAAUCUGGAAAUAUAUGGAAAUAUCAACUUGGUUGCAGGCUGAAGUCCAUGCCCUUUGCCAUUCACAUCCUCUUCCAUGGAAUGAGGACUCAUCAGAUAAAAUAUUGUUUUAAAUAAAUGGACCUUGUGAAAUUGCACAUGA